rnacentral:rRNA from 1 species
CUACCCUUGACAUGCCACUAACGAAGCAGAGAUGCAUUAGGUGCCCGAAAGGGAAAGUGGACACAGGUGCUGCAUGGCUGUCGUCAGCUCGUGUCGUGAGAUGUUGGGUUAAGUCCCGUAACGAGCGCAACCCUUGUCCUUAGUUACCAGCACGUUAUGGUGGGCACUCUAAGGAGACUGCCGGGGUCAACUCGGAGGAAGGUGGGGACGACGUCAAAUCAUCAUGCCCCUUAUGACUUGGGCUACACACGUACUACAAUGGCUGGUACAACGGGAAGCGAAGCCGCGAGGUGGAGCCAAUCCUAUAAAAGCCAGUCUCAGUUCGGAUUGCAGGCUGCAACUCGCCUGCAUGAAGUCGGAAUUGCUGGUAAUCGCGGAUCAGCAUGCCGCGGUGAAUACGUUCCC